rnacentral:tRNA from 1 species
AAGAUACAUUUAAGGACUUCUAAUCCCCAAUUUCCCAAAAGGAGUAUCUUU